CACUCCUGCGGGAGGCAGCAGUGGGGAAUUUUGGACAAUGGGCGAAAGCCUGAUCCAGCAAUGCCGCGUGAGUGAAGAAGGCCUUCGGGUUGUAAAGCUCUUUUGUCAGGGAAGAAACGGUGAAAGCUAAUAUCUUUUGCUAAUGACGGUACCUGAAGAAUAAGCACCGGCUAACUACGUGCCAGCAGCUGCGGUAAUACGUAGGGUGCAAGCGUUAAUCGGAAUUACUGGGCGUAAAGCGUGCGCAGGCGGUUUUGUAAGUCUGAUGUGAAAUCCCCGGGCUCAACCUGGGAAUUGCAUUGGAGACUGCAAGGCUAGAAUCUGGCAGAGGGGGGUAGAAUUCCACGUGUAGCAGUGAAAUGCGUAGAUAUGUGGAGGAACACCGAUGGCGAAGGCAGCCCCCUGGGUCAAGAUUGACGCUCAUGCACGAAAGCGUGGGGAGCAAACAGGAUUAGAUACCCGGGUAGUCCCAUG
rnacentral:rRNA from 1 species